rnacentral:rRNA from 1 species
AGAGCGAACGCUGGCGGCAGGCUUAACACAUGCAAGUCGAGCGGAUGUAGCAAUACAUCAGCGGCAGACGGGAUAGUAACACGUGGGAACGCGCCCUUUGGUUCGGAAUAACUCAGGGAAACUUGAGCUAAUACCGGAUAAGCCCUUACGGGGAAAGAUUUAUCGCCAAAGGAACGGCCCGCGUCCGAUUAGCUAGUUGGUGAGGUAAUGGCUCACCAAGGCGACGAUCGGUAGCUGGUCUGAGAGGAUGACCAGCAUCACUGGGACUGAGACACGGCCCAGACUCCUACGGGAGGCAGCAGUGGGGAAUAUUGGACAAUGGGCGCAAGCCUGAUCCAGCCAUGCCGCGUGGAUGAUGAAGGCCCUAGGGUUGUAAAGUCCUUUUAACGGGAAGAUAAUGACGGUACCCGUAGAAUAAGCCCGGCUAACUUCGCGCCAGCAGCCGC